rnacentral:rRNA from 1 species
CGGGUGGAUCCGCAAAGUCGGCUUGCGAAAUUCAGCUCGGAAGGCUGGUGCGGUCGUCCUGUCAGAUCUCGUGAGGACUCGCUGGGCGUUCGACCGCUGGUUUGACGUGUGCACUUUUCGCAGGCAGAGCGCCACGACCGGUUCCUGGGCAGUCAGAAGGCAGUGAGGAAGGUAGGCGGGUGCUUCGGCACUUGCUGUUAUAGCCUCGCUUGUCCUGAGCUGCUUCAUGGGGACCGAGGAGCCGCCGCCCGGCUUCAAGCUACCCUGCUCUCCUGGGGGUGAUUCGACUGGCAGAGACUGGGCAACCGUGUCUGCUGACUGCCCUCCUGGACAGAUCGGGGAUGCACCAAGUAGCUGGCCGGGCAUAGGGUCGGUGGCGAAUCGGUCGGCACUCCACCCGACCCGUCUUGAAACACGGACCAAGGAGUCUAACAUGCGCGCGAGUCGUUGGGUUGUACGAAACCCGAAGGCAAAGUGAAAGCGAGGGCCGUCCUUGCGACGUGCUCAGGUGGGAUCUCUGUCUCAGGGGCAGGGCGCACCACCGGCCCGUCUCGUUCGCGCUGUCGAGGAGGCGGAGCAAGAGCGUGCACGUUGGGACCCGAAAGAUGGUGAACUAUGCCUGAGUAGGAUGAAGCCAGAGGAAACUCUGGUGGAGGUCCGCAGCGAUUCUGACGUGCAAAUCGAUCGUCAAACUUGGGUAUAGGGGC